CGUGAUUGGCUGCUGAGUUGACGUGCUGGCGGAGGAGCAGUGAAGCGUAUUUUGCCCCUAGACGUCCGUGUCGUGAGGCUGCUGGAACCACCGUGAGGUCGUAUGGUCUAAGAUAUGGAUAUUUGGGGCUGUGAGUUUGUUGAUUAGUGAGCGCACUCGCUGUGACAUGACAGGAACGUUAUGAUGAACUCUGGAAUCUUCUGUGAAAGUACUGGCAGUCAACAUGUCGACGAGAAGCAGCGGCAGACAAGUCACGGUGGCGCAGGUUAUACCGGAAGGUGGUUCUUGAGCUCGUAGUCGGUGAGAGGACCUUCAACCAUCGCGAGACAUCAUCGCGUUGGGAAUUAUAAGUGGUUACCUGUACUACUUACGAAGUCUGGAAUACAUGUUAUCUUCGUGGUUUACAAGGCAGUGAAGAUUUGGAGUGUCAUGAGGAUAUAAGAAUAACCGUGGAGGAAAUGAAGAGGAAUCAAGACUAUGGAAGAUGAAGAGGCAAGACGUGUACCCAAUAAUGUCGUAGAGAAAAAAUAAUUGUUUUGAUCGCAGCAGCAGGACACGGGCCAUUUUCGACGCAUCAGAGAUGACUUGUAUAAUGUGUGAUACAAUGACAAUAGUAUGACAUAAAAAACGUGUAUUGUA